rnacentral:rRNA from 1 species
GUUGAAACACCGGCUCCUGUACGUUCACCGAAGUCAAGCAACGUCGAGCCUGGUCAGUAUCUAAAUGGGUGGCUGUUUGGGAAUACCUGGUGCUC